rnacentral:rRNA from 1 species
GAUGAUGCCCAGCUUGCUGGGUGGAUUAGUGGCGAACGGGUGAGUAACACGUGAGUAACCUGCCCCUGACUCUGGGAUAAGCGUUGGAAACGACGUCUAAUACUGGAUAUGACUGCCGGCCGCAUGGUCUGGUGGUGGAAAGAUUUUUUGGUUGGGGAUGGACUCGCGGCCUAUCAGCUUGUUGGUGAGGUAAUGGCUCACCAAGGCGACGACGGGUAGCCGGCCUGAGAGGGUGACCGGCCACACUGGGACUGAGACACGGCCCAGACUCCUACGGGAGGCAGCAGUGGGGAAUAUUGCACAAUGGGCGAAAGCCUGAUGCAGCAACGCCGCGUGAGGGAUGACGGCCUUCGGGUUGUAAACCUCUUUUAGUAGGGAAGAAGCGAAAGUGACGGUACCUGCAGAAAAAGCACCGGCUAACUACGUGCCAGCAGCCGCGGUAAUACGUAGGGUGCAAGCGUUGUCCGGAAUUAUUGGGCGUAAAGAGCUCGUAGGCGGUUUGUCGCGUCUGCUGUGAAAUCCCGAGGCUCAACCUCGGGCUUGCAGUGGGUACGGGCAGACUAGAGUGCGGUAGGGGAGAUUGGAAUUCCUGGUGUAGCGGUGGAAUGCGCAGAUAUCAGGAGGAACACCGAUGGCGAAGGCAGAUCUCUGGGCCGUAACUGACGCUGAGGAGCGA